ensembl:lncRNA
GUAGACCCUGACCACUUGACAAAUUUCCUUAGGAGAAAAGAUCAUUCAAAAGCAAAGUGUUUUUAUUAAGAUAUUUGGUAGAAAAAAGAAUUUGAUGGGUUGAUUAGUAUCCUAAUAGGAUAUACAUUGUUCACUUUUGAGUUCCUUUUAAGGAAAACAACUUUAGAGAGUAAUUUAAAUUUAGAUUUAAUUUGACUGCAAAUGAUAAUGUCUUCAUCCUUUUUUUAGUUUCCAAGGUUUCUGGGUCAAUGAAGGGAUCAUUUUGAUGUCCUCAUCUCAGAGUGCUCACUUCCCUAUGCUACACCUAAACUUCUGUUUUUUGUUAAAGGUGAUAUGCUUUGCCCAUUUCCUCAACGAGAUGUGAAGAUAUGGACUACAGUCUCAUGAGCUGUGUGAAAGAAGAGUAUGUGAGAGUGUAGAGACUGUAUUUCAAAGCAGAUUGAUAUAGAUUUCAAAGAGGCCUGGACUUACAGACAUUUCUAAUCAUAUGGCGUGAGUGUGUGUUCAGUCACUUCAGUUGUGUCUGCCUCUCUGCGACCCC